CUAAAGAUUUAAUUAAUGUCCCACUUGAGCAAUACGAGGAAUUUUAGCUUGUAUGUGGGGAGGAUCAAGCAACUGGAAGUUUUGGAAAAUCUAUCUCAGAUGUUCAGUCUGAAAAUGUGGAUGAUGUCACAAGUGGAAAAGAAUCAUCAGAAAGAAGUAAACGCGGAAAACGAAGUAGGUCAUGGGAAGAUGUUCUCUCCAAGGUUGAUGGGUUGACUGAACAAGUUGG
rnacentral:lncRNA from 1 species